rnacentral:rRNA from 1 species
GACGAACGCUGGCGGCAUGCCUAACACAUGCAAGUCGAACGAAGCCUUCGGGCUUAGUGGCGCACGGGUGCGUAACGCGUGGGAAUCUGCCCUUGGGUUCGGAAUAACAGUUAGAAAUGACUGCUAAUACCGAAUGAUGUCUUCGGACCAAAGAUUUAUCGCCCAAGGAUGAGCCCGCGUCGGAUUAGCUAGUUGGUGAGGUAAAGGCUCACCAAGGCGACGAUCCGUAGCUGGUCUGAGAGGAUGAUCAGCCACACUGGGACUGAGAUACGGCCCAGACUCCUACGGGAGGCAGCAGUGGGGAAUAUUGGACAAUGGGGGGCAACCCUGAUCCAGCAAUGCCGCGUGAGUGAUGAAGGCCUUAGGGUUGUAAAGCUCUUUUACCAGGGACGAUGAUGACGGUACCUGGAGAAUAAGCCCCGGCUAACUUCGUGCCAGCAGCCGCGGUAAU